GGCCAGACCUGUGGCAUAUAGAAGUUCUCAGGCUAGGGGUUGAACUGGAGCUACAGAUGCUGCCCUAUGCCACAGCCACAGCAAUGUGGGAUCUGAGUUGCAUCUGAGACCUACAUACCACAGCUCAUGGCAAUGCUAGAUCCUUAACCCACUAAGCGAGGUCAGGGAUCAUACCCACAUCCUCAUGAGUAUCAGUCAGAUUCAUUUCUAUUGUGCUAAAACAGGAAUUCCCAUAUUACCCAUUUUGCAUAGAAGUAGAUGUCCUAAAUAUUUGUUGACUUAAAUUAUUUUAUUUUCCCUUUUUUUCUUUCUUUUUUCUUUCUUUCUCCUUCUUCUUCUUCUUUUUUUUUUUUUUAAUGGCUGCUCCUGUGGUGUAUGGAAGUUCCCAGGCUAAGGGUCAAAUUGCAGCUUCAGCUGUGGUACACACCAAAGCCACAGCAAUGCCAGGUCCAAGCAUCUGUGACCUAUGCUGCAGCUUGCAUCAACACUGGAUCCUUAAUCCACUGAGGGAAACCAGGGAUUGAACCUACAUCCUCAUGGACACUAUGUCAGGUUCUUAACCUACUGAGCCAUAAUGGGAACUCCAACUUGAAUUAUUUUAAUAAUGGUAUAUCAAUCUGGGGGUUUUAUUUUUAUGUAUCAUUGUUUCAAAUAUAUAUAUAUAUAUUCUUCUAGAAAAACCAAAGUAUGUUAUAAAGAUCUUAAAGAUUUUAAAUCAGAUUAGAGCAUAUACCAAGAAAUUGGUAAACUUAAGUUGUUGAAAGACCUAAUUCCAUUGCUUUAGUGAAGAAACUGAGUACCACAGCAUUAAGUGACAAUUAAAAUGUAUCAAUGAUAUUUCCUCAUUAUUUAUAAUAUACUUUAAGCAGUAAGGAAAUUUAUUUCCAGGAUUUCACUAAGUGAUUCAUGAAGUUAGGAGUGAUUUAGAGAACCCAGCUUUGCAGAUAAGCAGAAGCAAAUGGGGAGUAAACAACUGGGGCCAUAGCAAAGGCUACACUGUAGGACCUGUUGGAGCUCAUAGGAGCGCAUAAUGAGACACUGUCUCUCUGGGUGCCACUCACAUCCCUAUUGCAAACACUCCUGCUACUACACCUUGGAUGUCAUUGUCUUGAAUUAAUUUUUACCACAGCGAGUGUGAACUAUUGACUCAUAAUUUGAAAAUCCUUAGUGGAAGAUUGAUUGACUGAGCCUGGAACAUGUCAUCAUUAUCUAACUGCCAGAAAUGGGACAAAGGAUCAACUAUAUAGUAAAAGAGACAAUUGUAGGGCUUUUGUGAAUCUAGGGUUUGCUUCCCACCAAGAUUGACAAAAGGAAAGACUUUAUUCCAGUGAAAAUGAUUUGGAAUAUGGGAAGCCAGAAAUAAUGAAAUUAUGACUAGUACACAACACUGGGUCUCUUGACUUCAACACAUGAGGUCUUCACAUUUGUAAUUAGGAUUUUGAAUGCACAUGGAACAGUGAUUCUAAAAUGUAUUCCACAGAAAAGUAGACCCAAGAGAUAUUCCAUGAAAUUUAAAAGUACUCCAUGGCUAUAGAUGUUUGGGCAACACUGCAUUCUAUAGCUUAUGUUUGAAGUUCCCAAGUGAACAUUUAUAUAUGAUAGGCUCUGAAAAGCCCUGCAGUAAAGAAACUCAUUUAUCUUUGUUAGCAAAGUUCCUCAUAUUUAUUCAAUCACAAGACAUUUUUAUUCAUGUAACACAAUCGUCCCUAGGAUAAUCUUUGAGAAUUACUGGACUAGAAAUGAUCGUUCUGAUGUAAUAGGAGUAAGAAGAAAGCAUUUUGUGGCAGAACUGGCACAGCCAGAAGUUCACAUCCAGGUGCGUAUCUGCCUAAAAUGUGUUAAUGGGCAGGUGGAGAGGAGUGGAGCUGGGUCAAGGUGCAUGGAUUUGGUUUGGCAACACAAUCUAACCUUAGAGGCUCAGACAAUUAUACUAUCUGUUUCUUCCCAAUAGCAUACUUGCAUAAAAAUUUAAAAUAAACUCUGCAUUUUGGCUAUUCGUUAGGCUUAAGCCAUCCCCUUUCUGACAAAAGUGACCAUACUAAUGAUCCACAAACAUGGAUGCAUAUUAGCAUAAUCUGGGGGCAUCUUGUUAAAAAUAUAGAUUGUUUUUCAAGAUUUUUCAGUUUCACUGCUGAGAUAUCUACUAGGAGUCAGGCAUAUAUGGGCACAUGUGCCAGUCUAUUAAUAAAGCCCAAGGAAAGUUUAUGUAGCUGCCCUAUAGAUCAGCAACUUCCCACUGGACACACCUCAGCUUAUCCUCCUCUCUGACUUCUUUUAUCUUCUUCCAAGGUUGCAGGCCACGUUCUUCUGCUCAUGUAAAAUUACUUUUACUAAUUUUUUCCCCAGUAAAAUUUUAUGAGCCAUGACAACCAAAUACUUUAGUAAGAUCCCAGUAUACUGUCUAUGAUGCAUUUUCUUCAUUACUUUGGAAAUGAUAGUUGCAUAGCCAUAAAGUUUAUUGACUAUAACUUUUUGGAGUAAUCCUAUGUAAUAUAUAUCUAAUAAUUCCUCUGUCUUUUGAGGGUUUGUUGAUUUAUUUAUUUCCUUUUUCAUUGUGAUGUAAAAGAAAAAUUCAAGCUACCUUUGGAUUUUGUACAUAGUGAUUUCUUGGAUACUGUUUUAUUUUGGACAAAUCUUAGAUUUUAUCAUUGUUAUUCUAUUUUGCCUUAAUUAAAUAAUCUCCCCAAUUUUAGCAAGAAUGUGAGCUAAUUUUCAUAAUAUUCUUUACACUCUGUUAUAUUUUUUCUUAUUUUUCUUAAUUACUCUCUAUUUCUAGCCAAAUCAACACUUCUAUUGCUUAGAAUAAAAUUAAGUCAAAAUAUUAUUUUAUUUAAAUUUAAAAAAUGAGUUUAUUAUCUCAGACUUUUUCAAGGUUAUGUCUGAGGUAUUAAAAUUGCUCUAUAUUAUAUUAUCACUUACUUUCCAUGCACUCUCUCAUAAGAACAUUUCAGAUCCUACAACAAAAAUACAGUGAUAUAGAGCAGAUAACAUCUCUACAGAAAAAGAUAAGGCUACUGUGGGUUAGGAACAGUAAAUAAAUUUGAGCUCAUACAUAGUCAGAGCAAGAAUUUGGUGCUGCUUAAGUAUAGCUUAGAGUUUUGUCUGAGAUCAUGCCAUGAAUUGGUGCCCCAGGCUAAGUUUACAAAGGAAAGACCCUCUAAUCCAUUGGCAGUAAAAAUUUCUGCUUCAGGAUUACUUUUGUGUGAGAAGGACACUUUCUCAUUCUUAUAAUACCUGAUAUAUAUUAUAGGGAAACAGAAAGAAAACAGACAAAAUGGAAAUAGAGACAUACAUAGUCUAUGAAAAAUAAAUGCUGGAGAUAGUGUGGAGAAAAGGGAACCCUCUUACACUGUUGGUGGAAUGUAAACUGGUGCAACCACUAUGGAAAACAGUAUUGAGUUUUCUCAAAAAACUAAAAUUAGAAUUACCAUAUGAUCCAGCAAUCCCACCCCUGGGCAUCUAUCUGGAGAAAACCAUGACUUGAAAAGAUACAUAUCCCAAUAUUCAUUGCAGCACUAUAUACAAUAUCCAAGACAUGGAAGCAACCCAAAUGUCUACUGACAGAUGAAUGGAUAAAGAAGAUAUUUUGCAUAUAUACAAUGGAAUAUUAUUCAGCCAUAAAAUAAUGAAGUAAUGGCAUUUUCAGCAACAUGGAUGGACCUAGAAAUUAUCAUGCUCAGUGAAAUUAGUCAGACAGUGAGACACAAACAUUAUAUGCUAUCACUUAUAUGUGGAAUCUAAAAAAAAGGAUACAAAUGAACUUAUUUGCAGAACAGAGACUCACAGACUUUGAAAAACUUACGGUAGCCAAAGGGGACAGAUGAGGAGGGAGGGAUGGAUUGAGAGUUUGGAAAUUUUCUAAAACUAGCUUGUGAUGAUGAUUGUACAACUAUAGGUAUAAAAAAUUCAUUGAAUUAAAAAAAAAAGACUUCCAUAAAUUUCCAAUGGAAUAGGACAAACAUCUGAGAUAAUUUUUAGGACUGUUCCAUGGUUGUAAGUGUUAUAGCAGGAAGACAUUAUUUAAUAAAUAUGUUGCACUUUGCUUUUGGAAAUAUCCAAGUGCUAUAGCUUUGAUUCUUAGCAGAGGCUGAGGUGGGGUCUACUUUGCCUACCAGAGUUGUCCUGUGACAAGAAAAAAUGGCUAAGCCUUUACUUCCCUCUUACUCAGCUACCAGAUGUGGGCUUUCCCGGGGCAUCCAUGACCUUGAAUGAGGUUGCUUAGGUCUGCAUUUGAGGAAGACCCUGAAGGUGCUAAGAAUUGGAGGCACCUGACUGCACUUCUUGCAACCUGACAGUCUGUCCUUCCUUGAAGGAAGAUCUGGGAGGCAGAGCAUUUUGCUACUACAUUCCAUCCCUCACACAGCUUAGAUCUGCAUAUACCUUCAGGAAGCAGCUUUAUUUAGACCAGUAAACUUCUGCCCCUUAUGGGAAAUGAAAUAUGUAAGAGAGUUUCAGAGAUACAAUGGGAGUUAUGGUCUCCUUUCUCCACAGUCCAUUCUGGAUUCUCCUUCAUCCUUGGCUACCACCUCUGCUGGCUUCUGUGAUUUAGAGCUUCACAUCAGAGGAGUAUAAGCCCCUGUUCCCAAUAGCCAGGGGCCCCUGAGCUCCAACAUUAGACCAGGGAACUCUAUUUGUUCAUUUACUGUCACAACUGAGCAAAGAAGUACAGAGUUGCAUGAGUAGGUUAUGUGGACUUUACUUAUUUUCUCCCCUGAUUUUUGUAGUAUGUCAGCAACCCUCCCUACUCCUGACAAUCCAGGUUACUUACCCUUGCUAAGACCAUUAUUCUUACUCUAGCCUCUAGUUCCUAGAUACGAGGGGUCUUUAGCGCCUGUUCAGCAAUUGCAGCUUACAAGUCAAUGGUUCUCUUGGUUAGUUCUUCCUGAGAAUGUGUCCCUUUUGAGUAUGAGAACUUCUAACUCUGAGGAACCAAGAAUUGUGGGAACAAGAAGUACAUAGCCUCUUGGUAGACUACUGAGAGUAAUGGUGUGUGGGGUCAUUCCUGCUUCCACGUUUUGGUUUUUGGACCCCCCCCCACCCCGUAUUCUUCCUAUUGAUGAUUCAAUGCCCUAUUGAGAUCUUUGAAUCAGCAUGGUACUGCAUCCUGAGGAAGGCACUGUAUUUGCAGGUAUUG
rnacentral:lncRNA from 1 species